UACGAAGGGGGCUAGCGUUGUUCGGACUCACUGGGCGUAAAGCGCACGCCGGCGGAUCGAUAAGUCGGGGGUGAAAGCCCGGGGCUCAACCUCGGAAUUGCCUUCGAUACUGUCGGUCUCGAGUCCGGGAGAGGUGAGUGGAAUUCCUAGUGUAGAGGUGAAAUUCGUAGAUAUUAGGAAGAACACCAGUGGCGAAGGCGGCUCACUGGCCCGGUACUGACGCUCAGGUGCGAAAGCGUGGUGAGCAAACAGG
rnacentral:rRNA from 1 species